rnacentral:rRNA from 1 species
AGAGUUUGAUCCUGGCUCAGGAUGAACGCUGGCGGCGUGCCUAACACAUGCAAGUCGAGCGAUUCUCUUCGGAGAAGAGCGGCGGACGGGUGAGUAACGCGUGGGUAACCUGCCCUGUACACACGGAUAACAUACCGAAAGGUAUGCUAAUACGGGAUAACAUAUUUUGAUGGCAUCAUCGAAAUAUCAAAGCUCCAGCGGUACAGGAUGGACCCGCGUCUGAUUAGCUAGUUGGUGAGGUAAUGGCUCACCAAGGCGACGAUCAGUAGCCGACCUGAGAGGGUGAUCGGCCACAUUGGAACUGAGACACGGUCCAAACUCCUACGGGAGGCAGCAGUGGGGAAUAUUGCACAAUGGGCGAAAGCCUGAUGCAGCAACGCCGCGUGAGCGAUGAAGGCCUUCGGGUCGUAAAGCUCUGUCCUCAAGGAAGAUAAUGACGGUACUUGAGGAGGAAGCCCCGGCUAACUACGUGCCAGCAGCCGCGGUAAUACGUAGGGGGCUAGCGUUAUCCGGAAUUACUGGGCGUAAAGGGUGCGUAGGUGGUUUUUUAAGUCAGAAGUGAAAGGCUACGGCUCAACCGUAGUAAGCUUUUGAAACUGAGAAACUUGAGUGCAGGAGAGGAGAGUAGAAUUCCUAGUGUAGCGGUGAAAUGCGUAGAUAUUAGGAGGAAUACCAGUUGCGAAGGCGGCUCUCUGGACUGUAACUGACACUGAGGCACGAAAGCGUGGGGAGCAAACAGGAUUAGAUACCCUGGUAGUCCACGCCGUAAACGAUGAGUACUAGGUGUCGGGGGUUACCCCCCUCGGUGCCGCAGCUAACGCAUUAAGUACUCCGCCUGGGAAGUACGCUCGCAAGAGUGAAACUCAAAGGAAUUGACGG